CCCACAUUGGGCUCCUUGCAUAGAGCCUGCUUCUCCCUCUGUCUAUGUCUCUGCCUCUCUCUCUCUCUAGGUCUCUCAUGAGUAAAUAAAUAAAAUCUUAAACAAAACAAAACAAAACAAAAAAACCUUGCUGGGUAAGCAUAGGAUCUUUCACGUAUUCAACAAAUGAUUUCUGGUCACCUAAGAUGCACUAGGCUCUGGACUAGGUGCUGCAGAGUAGUGCUAACCAAAUUGACAUUUCCUUGUUGGGUGUAACAGCAGAAUAUUAAUGACUGUAUGGGACAGUAUCUAGGAGCUUUGGAGGCAGAUGGUCCAAGACCCAAGCUUUUCUACUUACUAUAGAGAUUUGCCGUAUAGGACAAAAGCAGCCAGGGACUACAUGUAAAUGAAUGAGCAUGACUGUAUUCCGAUAACAUUUAAUGGAUCCUGAAAUGUGAGUUUUAUAAUUUUCACUUGUUACAAAAUAUUUUUCUUUCUCUUUCCCCCCACUGUUAAUAAAUGUAAAAAAUCAAUCAGGUAAGUAAGCUGGAUUUGGCCUACACAGGCUAGAGUUUGCUGACUUCUGAUUUAGGCAACAGUCUGGUUGCCACAGUUUGGAAAAUUUCUCAGAUCAUUGAUCCCAUCCAAUAUGUAUUAAUUUUAUAAUGUAAUUAUUAGGUGCAAUUUAUUUCCAAAUUCAUAGGGCCCGUCUCUUGUGGCUGUACCCUUCUCCAUGCCCCUACCACUGUCUAAUAGUCUCAAAUUUCUUGUAGGCCAUGCAUACCUUAUUUUUGAGAGUUCAAUGUCAGAAUGUGGGAGAAGAGUGGUGCACAGUGCCUGAUGAGAAAUAAAGAGAGAAAAUGUAGUGCUGGAAAAGAAAGACAAAUGACACAAAAGAAAAGAAAAAUUCAUAGAUUGAGAACAAUAAAUGGUUUCCCUUCUACUGGCUGUGGAUUUUGGCAUGAAUCCAAAUCACUUCUUUUUUAAUGGUGAGAAACUGC
rnacentral:lncRNA from 1 species